rnacentral:lncRNA from 1 species
ACUGCAUGAAUGUAUCUGCAUUUCUAGUGUUCAUUGAUCACUCAUCAACAAUUAGUUCUCACGUAGAAAAAAAAAGUUCAUAGUAUAAAGAUUAUAGGCAAACUGGUUUUGAUUCCUUGUCACUUGCAUUGAGUCUAUAGUCCCAAUGAUGGCUAAAUAACAAAGAGAGCUUUUUCAGUCUUUAGUUAGGCACAGGAUGCAGCAUAGCAUAUACACGAAUUCAGUAAUUGAAGAAUCUUUGAAUCAAAAGGAACCUGUGUCGAAACAUUAGUUGUUGACAUUCUGGGAUCCCCAUAGCUAUAACGAAUCUUGGAAGCAUAACUUAUAGAGAAGCAUAGUCCCAAUGAUGGCUAAAUAACAAAGAGAGUUUUUUUUCAGUCUUUAGUUAGGCACAGGAUGCAGCAUAACUUAUACACGAAUUCAGUAAUUGAAGAAUCUUCGAAUCAUCAAAAGGAACCUGUGUCGAAACAUUAGUUGUUGACAUUCUGGGAUCCCCAUGGCUAUA